rnacentral:rRNA from 1 species
AAAACGGAGAGUUUGAUCCUGGCUCAGGAUGAACGCUGGCGGUAUGCUUAACACAUGCAAGUCGAACGGAAUCUUUCGGGAUUUAGUGGCGGACGGGUGAGUAACGCGUGAGAAUCUAGCUCUAGGUCGGGGACAACCACUGGAAACGGUGGCUAAUACCGGAUGUGCCGAAAGGUGAAAGAUUAAUUGCCUAGAGAUGAGCUCGCGUCUGAUUAGCUAGUUGGUGUGGUAAGAGCGCACCAAGGCGACGAUCAGUAGCUGGUCUGAGAGGAUGAUCAGCCACACUGGGACUGAGACACGG